rnacentral:lncRNA from 10 species
AACAAUUCUUUCAAUAUUGACACACCUUUCCUUCAAGUUUAAAACUGUGAUUUUCAUACCAUAUGUACUCAAAAACGGCAAAGGAAAGAGAGAAGCAGGAAGAUGGGAGGGAAGGAGAGAGGACAAGGAUGGGAACGGAAAUUCAUGCAGAUACCUUUUUCUGGUGAAGAAAGCUUCCUCUGCCGUAACUGGACCUGCAGCCUAAACUUCAGAUUGUCUUUCACUCUCUUGACCUGCACACGCAAGAGCUUUUCUUUCACCAACUAGUAACUUUUGCUUGAUUUGAUAUAUGCUUUUCUUCUCGAUAAUUGUUUCUCAAUGUUUGAUUAGUCCUUCCUUGCAUUCCUUUCUUCUCUCUUUAUCUAGGGUUAAAGCUACUUCCUCUCAAUCCCCAGACUAAAUUUAUUACCUUUUUCUCUAAAAUGAAGAUGCAAGUAUUUGUUUUGCUCAAUAGCUAUUUUUUAGUUUACCAUUAAAAUCACAAAUCCAAAGCCUGCAAGGGCUAUGCAAAUAAUGUAAAUGAAUGAGGAAAGUCACGUAUAAGACAAUACAGAAUGGAAAUCUGCAGAGCAUAUGUCCCUGGAAAAUGCAUGCCCCAUCCAAAGACAUUGGAAAUAAUUUUUUCAUAUCAUGCACCCCAAACAAAACACACAUGCUGACUGUCUGUAGGCUCUAAGUCUGCAACACCUGGUAUGAAGUAUCUGAUGCAACCUUUGCCAAGGGGCACAAUAAAUAGCAUUCUCAUUUAUUAUCAAGAUCUGUGUCCCUUACGUGGCCA